GACGAACGCUGGCGGCGUGCUUAACACAUGCAAGUAGAACGAGUGGGGAACGGGGGAGUAAUACGUGGGUAACAUGCCCUCUGUGGGGGAUAAGCCAUGGAAACGGGGCAUAAUACCGAAUAAAGGAGGAUGGGAUCGCGGACUAGAAGCUUGUUGGUGGGGUGAUUGCCUACCAAGGCGGUGAAGGUUAGCCGGCCUGGGAGGUUGACCGGCCACAUUGGGACUGAGAUACGGCCCAGACUCCUACGGGAGGCAGCAGUGGGGAAUAUUGCACAAUGGGCGCAAGCCUGAUGCAGCCAUGCCGCUUGUAUGAAGAAGGCCCUAGGGUUGUAAAGUACUUUCAGUCGGGAGGCGUUACCGACAGAAGAAGCACCGGCUAACUCCGUGCCAGCAGCCGCGGUAAUUC
rnacentral:rRNA from 1 species